AUUGAACGCUGGCGGCAGGCCUAACACAUGCAAGUCGAACGAGUGGCGGACGGGUGAGCAAUGGCUGGGCAACUGCCUGAUGGAGGGGGAUAACUACUGGAAACGGUAGCUAAUACCGCAUACCAUCAGAUGUGCCCAUAUGGGAUUAGCUAGUUGGUGGGGUAACGGCUCACCAAGGGGACGAUCCCUAGCUGGUCUGAGAGGCUGACCAGCCACACUGGAACUGAGACACGGUCCAGACUCCUACGGGAGGCAGCAGUGGGGAAUAUUGGGCAAUGGACGAAAGCCUGACGCAGCAAUGCCGCGUGUAUGAAGAAGGCCUUCGGGUUGUAAAGUACUUUCGGCGGGGAGGCGUUACCCGCAGAAGAAGCACCGGCUAACUCCGUGCCAGCAGCCGCGGUAAUAC
rnacentral:rRNA from 1 species